rnacentral:lncRNA from 10 species
CCAGGGUUCAAAUGGCUGAGCGGGAAGCGCUCUAGUAGGGACUCUGGCAACUCUGUUUUCUCCUUCUCUUCCUUUUCACCCAAUAAUACCCUGUCUUACUCAUUAUUUCAAAUUGUCUAAGAGCCUGAAUUUUCGUGGCUCUAGGGCAAAGAACCCCGUCUUUAACUGAACUAAGGAAAAGUCCUACAACAUUUUUGGCACGCAACGUGGGAGCUUUUUUUCAGAAAAUGUUUUACUAAGCCAGACCCCCUGUCGGCCCUCCCGCGCACUCCUUUCCCCCAGCAAAUCUUCCAGAACUAAUCUAUGUCUCCUCAUUUAAGGAAUACAUCACUUCUAGCAGUCUACUCCUGCCACCAAAGUAUAAAAGCUGGACAAACAACAUAACGGAAAUCAUUUGAAGGCAUUUGAAAGUGACCACCAUUCAUAGUUCUUUAAGGGUUAUAAACCCUGAGAGAUAAAAGGAAUCAAUAGAACCCAUACUUAUGGCAACAUUUCUCCUUUAGAGUAUUUUCAGCUUACUGUGUGGAAUAGAUUCAGAGAAGAAAGCCAAAGUCUCCCUGGGCUGAGGAAACAUUGGAUUUUCAGUACAGUCACAGCAGCUGUGAUUUCAGGGGACAAAAAUCUCAAGGAAUGUAUAUAACUGAACCCCAAAAUCUGUAUUCCAUUUUUUUUUAGACUUUUUCAACUCUGAAGCUGUACAGGGAAAGCUCUAAGAAGCCCAACCAAAAGCAGCAGUUUAGACUGUGUGAAAGCACUGAACACGUUUCAAUAGUUAACUGAAUGAGUAGGCUUGGCAAAUAUUCUAUGCUCUCAGCUAUAUCCUAGAAGUAUGGGACUAUAUCCUAGAAGUAUAUAGGGUAUAUAGAAGUAUCCUAGAAGUAUAUAUGGGACUAUAUCCUUAGAAGUAUGAUCCAUACCCUUGAAGUAAGAGAAAAACUGAAAAAAACAACAAGAACCAAUUUUGAACUGAAAAUAUUUCAGAAAAAAAUUGCAUCUGCACUUAACAUGUACAGAUUAUUUUUCUGGUCAUUAUUCCAUAAACAAUACAGUGUAACAACUAUUACAUAGCAUGCACAUUUUAUUAGGUAUAAUAGGUAAUCUAUAUACAUAUAUGCCCUGGAAUCUACUUUUUCUAAUACUAAUAUAGCCACUCAAGCUACCUUAAGAUUAGUUUUAGAAUAGUACAUUCUAAUAGUA